CCGUUUUCAAAGUCGCAGGGCGGGCCGAGGGGACUUCCUCCGCCGGCUUGGGGCUUCCCAGCUGUCCUGGUGUCGCCCUCCUCACCUCCGCUGCUCUGUAAGGACCUCGCCACCAAGCUGUCCUCCAGCUCCCUCGGCGCUCUCCUAAGUGGCUUGAUAAGACCCUGAGUGACCCGCGGAACGCCUGUAACCUGUGUUCGCUUGGCACCAGAGUAGGAUUCGUUUGAAAAGAAUUCACUUGGAUCAUCUCCAGCAGUCCAAAAAUCUGAAGUCUGGGACUAAAGAGAAGGAAGCGCGGCGGGGUUGUUGACGCCUCGUGAGCAGGAUGCUGAUUACACCGCUCGAUUGCUUGACAACCUACGAGCGUAGCCUUAGUUUCUUCUAGCCCCGGCCCCCGCACAGCGAGAAGGUAAAGGCGGUGAAAGCUCCAAACUAAGAUUGUAUCGAAAUGGCCACAGAAGUCAACUUGCUGAGAAAUGAAAAUCAAAUACUACAUGAAAUUCUUAGGUGGUACCACAGAGAAAGUUUUUCCAAAUAUUCAUCUGUACAGAAAUCUGUCAGAGGACAUGGAGAUGACAUAUUAGGAAACCCAGUAACUGACCAAAGCUUUUUAGCUCCUCUUAUUGCUGAGUAUGAUAAUCUUCUAGUACAACUAAAUGGGCAGCUGAAAUAUUAUCAGAAGCAGAUGGGUGAGCUGAAACUACAACUUGAAAAUGUCGUCAAAGAAAAUGAAAGGUUACACAGUGAAUUAAAAGAUGUUGUUGAAAAGCAAUUGGAGGCCCUUCCCCUUGACUCAGAGAUAGGAAUAGCUAUAUGUACAGAUGACGAAACAGUCAGGAACCUUCAAGAACAAUUGCAACUAGCCAAUCAAGAAAAAACUCAGGCUGUGGAACUCUGGCAGACUGUUUCUCAGGAGUUAGAGAGAUUACAGAAACUGUAUCAGGAACAUAUGACUGAGGCCCAGAUUUGUGUACUAGAAAGUCAAAAGCAAAAGGAUCAGCUGACCAAUUAUCAACAGCUAACCAAGCAACUUCACAUUAAUAAGGUGAACACAGAAGUGACUAACCAACAUAUUCUGAAAACAAUAACUGAACAAAGUGUGGAAAUUGAACAGCUUCGAAAACAACUUAGGCAAGCCAAGACAGAUAUGAGAAUUGCAGUAGCAAAAGUGGAAGAGUUAACUAAAGCAACUGAAGAUCUUCAGGAACAGAUGCAAAAGAAGGAGGAGGAUAUGAUGUCUGCCCAAGGAAGAGAGGAAGCAUCAGAUAGGCGCGUACAGCAAUUACAAACUAGUAUAAAACAAUUAGAAACAAGAUUAUGUGUGGAAAUCCAAGAGGCCAACCAAUUAAGAACAGAAAAAACACAUCUGGAAAAACAUACCAGAGACCUACAAGCAACGUGUAAUGAAUUAGAAAAUGAGAAAUUUGAGGCUAUUACAAGAGCCCGAAAUAGCAUGCAACUCUUAGAAGAAGCUAACCUUCAAAAAAAUCAGGCUCUGCUUGAGGAGAAGCAAAAAGAAGAAUAUAUAAGGAAGAUGAAAGAAACAGUUUCUCGGAUUUUGCAAGAAGCUGCUGUAAGAACCAGGAAAGAAAUUACAAACACAAAAAAGCAAUAUAAUGUACAGAUUUCUCGAUUAUCAGAAGAACUGUCAGCCCUUCAAAUGGAAUGUGCUGAGAAACAAGGCCAAAUGGAAAGAACCAUUAAGGAAAAAAAAGCAGUAGAAGAAGAACUAGAAAAGAUUUACCGUGAAGGCAGAGGAAAUGAAAAUGAUUACAGAAAACUGGAAGAAAUGCACCAAAGAUGGUUGGUUGCAGAGCGUUCAAAGGAUGAUCUUCAGCUAACACUUAAGAGAGCGGAAAAUAGAAUAAAACAACUUGAAAUUAACUCCUCAGAAGAAAUAUCACGUUCCCAAGAAAUGAUUCAGAAACUUCAAAAUGUAUUGGAGUCUGAGAGAAAGAACUGUGGAUUUGUCAGUGAACAAAGGCUGAAACUUCAGCAAGAAAAUGAACAGUUACAGAAGGAGACUGAGAAUUUAAGAAAGAUUGCUCUGGAGGCUCAAAAAACAGCCAAAUUAAAGAUCAGUACAAUGGAACAUGAAUUUUCCAUAAAGGAACAUGGGUUUGAAGUUCAAUUGAGAGAGAUGGAAGACAGUAAUCGAAACUCCACCAUUGAACUACAGCAUCUCUUAUCGACUCAACAGAAGGCAGCCAGUAGGUGGAAAGAAGAAACAAAGAAACUUACUGAAAGUGCAGAAAUUAGAAUUGGUAAUCUAAAGAGUGAGCUGAAUCGACAGAAACUUUAUACCCAAGAGCUGCUUUCUCAGCUGGAAAUGGCAAAUGAAAAGGUAGUUGAGAAUGAAAACUUAAUUCUAGAGCAUCAAGAAAAAGCCAACAGACUUCAAAGGCGUCUAAAUCAGGCUGAAGAGAGAGCUGCUUCAGCUUCCCAGCAGAGACUCAAGCAGUACAGGUAAACCAGAAUGAAAAUCGGUGAGAAAAAGGAGAAGAGUUCCCUUUGAGACUGCUGCAUGCACGAGAAAAACAGCAGAGAAGAUUUGCUUCCCAAAGAAAUUGUUUUACACCGCCACAUACAAGUCAAGUAAUAAUGGGAAACUAUCAGGACUGGCCAGGUGUGCUGGCUCACACCUGUAGUCCCAGCACUUUGGGAGACUGAGGAGGGAGAAGAGUUGAGACCAGGAGUUGAAGACCAGCCCAGCCCAACAUAUAUAGCAAAGCACUGCCUGUACAAAAAUGUAAAUUAAUUAAUUAAAAGAAUAUCAGAACACACUGAUGAUGUAUUAAGAAUGGCACUACACAUAAUUUUAUCUUUGCUACUUAAUUUGUCAUUUGUUAUUUGUAAAGAUAACUAGAUUUAUUAUAAAUACUUUAUAUCACAGAAAUGCUGACUUGAAGGUUUUGUAUAGCUUCAGUUAAAAAUGUCAAAUGACAUCAGUCCUCAUCACUAAAAAAUUAUAUGAUUUCAAGUAAUUCUCUUUAACUUGCCAAGCAAUGUUAGGAUAUAGGGAAGAUUAAGUUAUUCUUUCAGUUCCUGAUAGCUGUGUUGUUUGAUCAUAUAUGUGUAUAUUAAUCAGUAA